rnacentral:rRNA from 1 species
CCUACGGGAGACUGCAGUGGGGAAUAUUGCACAAUGGGGGAAACCCUGAUGCAGCGACGCCGCGUGAGCGAAGCAUUAUUUCGGUAUGUAAAGCUCUAUCAGCAGGGAAGAAAAUGACUGUACCUGAGUAAGAAGCUCCGGCUAAAUACGUGCCAGCAGCCGCGGUCAUACGUAUGUAUCAAGCGGUAUCCGGCUUUACUGGGGGUAAAGGGAGCGUAGGGGGCCUGCCAAGUCUGAUGUGAAAUACCGGGGCUCAACCCCGGGGCUGCAUUGGAAACUGGCAGGCUGGAGUGCAGGAGAGGUAGGCGGAAUUCCUAGUGUAGCGGUGAAAUGCGUAGAUAUUAGGAGGAACACCAGUGGCGAAGGCGGCUUGCUGGACGGUGACUGACGCUGAGGCUCGAAAGCGUGGGGAGCAAACAGGAUUAGAUACCCCUGUAGUC